AAUUAGCCUCUUAAUUGGGGGAUAGUAUGAAUGGUAAUAUUGACCAGAUCUUUAUUUUUAUAUUGUGAAUUUUGAGUAAAGGUGAAAAUUCCUUUAUAAUAAUUUUAGACAAAAAGACCCUAUGAAGCUUACAAUGAAUAUGUAACAAAUUAAUUAAGAAUUGUUUCUUUGGGGAAAAGGUUAACGAUUGUAUUUUUAGAGUGUAAGAUCCUGAGAAGAACUACGAAAAAGCUCCUCUAGGGAUAACAGCGCCAUUUUAUUUUAAAGCCCACAUUAAAAA
rnacentral:rRNA from 1 species